rnacentral:rRNA from 2 species
UGGGGAAUAUUGCACAAUGGGGGAAACCCUGAUGCAGCGACGCCGCGUGAGCGAUGAAGGCUUUCGAGUCGUAAAGCUCUGUCCUAUGGGAAGAUAAUGACGGUACCAUAGAAGAAAGCCCCGGCUAAUUACGUGCCAGCAGCCGCGGUAAUACGUAAGGGGCGAGCGUUGUCCGGAAUUAUUGGGCGUAAAGAGUGCGUAGGCGGCAAAUUAAGUCAGAUGUGAAAACUAAGGGCUCAACCCAUAGAUUGCAUCUGAAACUGAUAUGCUUGAGUCAAGGAGAGGAAAGUGGAAUUCCUAGUGUAGCGGUGGAAUGCGUAGAUAUUAGGAGGAAUACCGGUGGCGAAGGCGACUUUCUGGCCAUAAUCUGACGCUGAGGUACGAAAGCGUGGGUAGCAAACAGG